AUUAAUAACGAGGUCGAGUACCUCACUAAUUAAA
rfam:Capnocytophaga haemolytica strain CCTG 32990, complete genome.